rnacentral:rRNA from 1 species
CAAUAGCGUAUAUUAAAGUUGUUGCAGUUAAAAAGCUCGUAGUUGGAUUUCUGGUAGGAGCGACCGGUCCGCCCUGUUAAGGGUGUGUACUAGCGUUGUCUCUGGCCAUCCUUGGGGGAACUGCGCGGGGAGACUUGCGUUAGGGAACCCAUCGUUUACUGUGAAAAAAUUAGAGUGUUUAAAGCAGGCUUAUGCCGUUGAAUACAUUAGCAUGGAAUAAUAGCACAGGACUCUUGGUUCAAUGCUGUUGGUUUGUUGAACUAGAGUAAUCACAAUAAGGAUAGUUGGGGGUAUUCGUAUUUAACUGUCAGAGGUGAAAUUCUUGGAUUUUUUAAAGACGAACAAUUGCGAAGGCAUCUACCCAGGAUGUUUUUGUUGAUCAAGAACGAAAGUUAGGGGAUCGAAGACGAUUAGAUACCAU